rnacentral:rRNA from 1 species
UACGUAGGGCGCAAGCGUUGUCCGGAAUUAUUGGGCGUAAAGAGCUCGUAGGUGGUUCGGUAAGUCGGAUGUGAAAUCUCCAGGCUCAACCUGGAGGGGUCAUUCGAUACUGCCGUGACUAGAGGUCGGUAGGGGAGAUCGGAAUUCCUGGUGUAGCGGUGAAAUGCGCAGAUAUCAGGAGGAACACCGGUGGCGAAGGCGGAUCUCUGGGCCUGUUCUGACGCUGAGGCGCGAAAGCUAGGGGAGCGAACAGG